rnacentral:rRNA from 1 species
GUAGGUGGCAAGCGUUGUCCGGAAUUAUUGGGCGUAAAGCGCGCGCAGGCGGUCCUUUAAGUCUGAUGUGAAAGCCCACGGCUCAACCGUGGAGGGUCAUUGGAAACUGGGGGACUUGAGUACAGAAGAGGAAAGCGGAAUUCCAAGUGUAGCGGUGAAAUGCGUAGAGAUUUGGAGGAACACCAGUGGCGAAGGCGGCUUUCUGGUCUGUAACUGACGCUGAGGCGCGAAAGUGUGGGGAGCAAACAGGGAUUAGAUACCCUGGUAGUCCACGCCGUAAACGAUGAGUGCUAAGUGUUAGGGGGUUUCCCGCCCCUUAGUGCUGCAGCUAACGCAUUAAGCACUCCGCCUGGGGAGUACGGCCGCAAGGCUG